rnacentral:rRNA from 1 species
CCUACGGGAGGCAGCAGUAGGGAAUCUUUCACAAUGGGCGAAAGCCUGAUGGGGCAACGCCGCGUGCAGGAUGAAGGCCUUCGGGUUGUAAACUGCUUUUAUAAGCGAGAAAUAUGAUGGUAACUUAUGAAUAAGGAUCGGCUAACUACGUGCCAGCAGCCGCGGUCAUACGUAGGAUCCGAGCAUUAUCCGGAGUGACUGGGUGUAAAGAGUUGCGUAGGUGGCAUAAUAAGUAGCUAGUGAAAUCUGGUGGCUCAACCAUUCAGACGAUUAGCUAAACUGUUAAGCUCGAGACCGUUAGGGGUAACUGGAAUUUCUAGGGUAGGAGUGAAAUCCGUAGAUAUUAGAAGGAACACCAAUAGCGUAGGCAGGUUGCUGGGACGGUUCUGACACUAAGGCACGAAAGCGUAGGGAGCAAACGGGAUUAGAUACCCGAGUAGUC